GCCGCGGUGGUGGAAUGGUAGACACGCUAGACUCAAAAUCUGGUGUCAGCAAUGACGUGCCGGUUCAAGUCCGGCUCGCGGUACCA
rnacentral:tRNA from 1 species